rnacentral:rRNA from 1 species
GACGAACGCUGGCGGCGUGCUUAACACAUGCAAGUCGAACGGAAAGGCCCUGCUUGCCGGGUACUCGAGUGGCGAACGGGUGAGUAACACGUGGGUGAUCUGCCCUGCACUUCGGGCUAAGCCUGGGAAACUGGGUCUAAUACCGGAUAGGUGCCGUUUUUAGUGUGAUGGUUGGAAAGUUUUUUCGGUGUAGGAUGAGCUCGCGGCCUAUCAGCUUGUUGGUGGGGUAAUGGCCUACCAAGGCGGCGACGGGUAGCCGGCCUGAGAGGGUGGACGGCCACAUUGGGACUGAGAUACGGCCCAGACUCCUACGGGAGGCAGCAGUGGGGAAUAUUGCACAAUGGGCGGAAGCCUGAUGCAGCGACGCCGCGUGGGGGAGGACGGCCUUCGGGUUGUAAACUCCUUUCGCUAGGGACGAAGCUUUUUGUGACGGUACCUAGAUAAGAAGCACCGGCUAACUACGUG